rnacentral:misc_RNA from 1 species
AAGAAAUUUAAUAAUUUUGAAAAUGGAUUUUUUUUUUGUUUUGGCAAGAGCAUGAGAGCUUUUACUGGGCAAGAAGACAAGAGAUGGAGAGUCCAGCCGGGCCUGCGCUUAAGUGCGCGGUCUUGCUAGGCUUGUAAGUUUCUUUCUUGCUAUUCCAAACGGUGAGAGAUUUCUGUGCUUUUGUUAUAGGACAAUUAAAACCGUUUCAAUACAACACCCUGUGGAGUUUUCAUAUCUUUGCAACUUUUUCUUUGGGCAUUCGAGCAAUCGGGGCCCAGAGGUAACAAACACAAACAAUUUUAUUUAUUCAUUAAAUUUUUGUCAAAAAACAAGAAUUUUCGUAACUGGAAAUUUUAAAAUAUUAAAAACUUUCAACAACGGAUCUCUUGGUUCUCGCAUCGAUGAAGAACGCAGCGAAAUGCGAUACGUAAUGUGAAUUGCAGAAUUCCGUGAAUCAUCGAAUCUUUGAACGCACAUUGCGCCCCUUGGUAUUCCAGGGGGCAUGCCUGUUUGAGCGUCAUUUCCUUCUCAAAUAUUCUGUUUGGUAGUGAGUGAUACUCUUUGGAGUUAACUUGAAAUUGCUGGCCUUUUCAUUGGAUGUUUUUUUUUUCCAAAGAGAGGUUUCUCUGCGUGCUUGAGGUAUAAUGCAAGUACGGUCGUUUUAGGUUUUACCAACUGCGGCUAAUCUUUUUUUAUACUGAGCGUAUUGGAACGUUAUCGAUAAGAAGAGAGCGUCUAGGCGAACAAUGUUCUUAAAGU